GUGGUUGAAGAUUCGAUCAUAAGGUCGGGGUCCUGAAAUAAAUAAUUUAAAAGAUCAGGGCUAGGGAGUUCCAUGAAAAAUGAAUAUGGCUUAUGCAGACUCUUUAAUAAUGGCUGAAUUGGAGACUAUGGAAAGAGUAUCAAAGUGCUUUAUUUGCAGAAAGAAAUAAUAUUUAUUCUAAUUCCCAUGGAAAAAAGGAAGCCAUAGAGGU
rnacentral:lncRNA from 10 species